ACCAGACUCCUACGGGAGGCAGCAGUGAGGAAUAUUGGUCAAUGGUCGGGAGACUGAACCAGCCAAGCCGCGUGAGGGAUGAAGGUACAGAGUAUCGUAAACCUCUUUUGUCAGGGAACAAAGGCGGGGACGUGUCCCCGGAUGAGUGUACCUGAAGAAAAAGCAUCGGCUAACUCCGUGCCAGCAGCCGCGGUAAUACGGAGGAUGCGAGCGUUAUCCGGAUUUAUUGGGUUUAAAGGUGCGCAGGCGGCGUUUUAGACCCGCGCACACACCCGGGGCCCCCCCCCCCGCCCGCCGUUGAAACUGGCAGUCUCGAGUUGGAGAGAAGUAUGCGGAAUGCGCGGUGUAGCGGUGAAAUGCAUAGAUAUCGCGCAGAACUCCGAUUGCGAAGGCAGCAUGCCGGCUCCACACUGACGCUGAGGCACGAAAGCGUGGGUAUCGAACAGGAUUAGAUACCCGUGUAACA
rnacentral:rRNA from 1 species